rnacentral:lncRNA from 1 species
UGAUAUUGUAAUAUUUACCAUUAUAUAAUCAGAGGGGUAUAGAAAAGUUUAUGAAAGUGUCACUCCAUAAUACAAUAGCAAAAUAUAUAAAUAUGUAUAGUAUUUUUAUGUUACAUUAAUCAGUAUUUAGCACACCUUCCUAAGGAAAGGAUAUGGACCAGAAGACAUUGCAAUUACUAAAUGAUAUUUAGACAGACCCUCAUUAUUCUUCCCUUUAUCUGGCCCUCUUGGAUGCUAUCUUGUGUCAGUCCGUAAUAUGUUGUGCAGCAGCUUAGAUCGUCUCUGUCCAUGCUGUGUUUGUCUGAAUCAGUUUUUUUAUUUUUUCUAGUCUAGUCGGUCUGGCAUUCCUGUUUUUGUCACCCUCCCCUUUCUACCCUCCUGCCUCCCUAGAACUCUGGUCGGCUCUCUCCCUUGGCUCUCGUGACUCAUAGGCCUGUCUCUCCACGGCAGUUCUGUCCUGUUCCGUCCUAUUCCUCUCUGCCCACGCUCGAUACCUCCCCUGGAAUUCAUCGGCGGCAUUCUAUUGCCGGCUCGCCGCCCCUCUUCCCCGCGGGCUCGACCGCGGCUGGUCUAACCUCCGCGCUGAUCUGGACUGACUUUUUGCUGGGGUUUUGCUAUCCGGCAGAUUAUUGACUUUUUGAUUCACAGUUUCAAUAAACUUGGAGUUUGUUUUCACCUGCUAUUGGACCCCGGUCUCGUUUCUGACACAUUCAAGACAUGAUUGAAGUGAUUUUAAAACUUUUGAAAGACUUCGUUAAAAAAGAGUGAAGAGAAAAAGCACAUUACCUGUGCAGUAUCCUGAACACCAGAUUUGUGGAUUCACAAGUUCAUAGACAUAGUAAUUUCCUGGACAGGCUUUCACUCUGAUGGGUUUUGUCUUGUAAUAACAGCAGUUACCCGUAUAAUAUUUUCCACAGACCUCUCUGGUCACCACUCCAUCCUCUAUCUGAGGGUGAGGACCAUUGAGCCACAGACUGAUGUCUGUGUUACAGCUGUAUGAACUAACACAGGUCUCUGACAUCUGGAUGUUCAUUCCAUAGUAGAAAAGCCGGUACCAGCCAUUCCAGGAGAAUCGUUCAUCACAAACGUUAACUCCACUUUCAUUGGUGGCUCUCCAGGGACGAUCCAGAGACUCAUAGUUGUAGCAGGGAUCACUGCUGAUGCUGCUGAAAGCAACUGUCAUGGAGUUUGGAAAAGUUAUGUUAAAAUACUGAGACCCACUUUAUAUUAAGUGUCAUCAACUACAGUCUUCUAAAAUUUAAAUUUGUAAUUUGAUAAAGUGCACUUAUUGUGCAGAUACAUGAUACACUGUGCUUAUAUUUAAAAACACACGCAUUUAUGUACAGCUGUAUGUAAUGCAGUUCUGUAAGUACACUGUUGACUCAUAUCUUAUAGCAUAACGCACCCUUAAAUAUAAUCAUACCACU